rnacentral:rRNA from 1 species
AGUGAGCGCUGGCGGUAGGCCUAACACAUGCAAGUCGAACGGCAGCACAGUAAGAGCUUGCUCUUACGGGUGGCGAGUGGCGGACGGGUGAGGAAUACAUCGGAAUCUACUUUUUCGUGGGGGAUAACGUAGGGAAACUUACGCUAAUACCGCAUACGACCUACGGGUGAAAGCAGGGGAUCUUCGGACCUUGCGCGAUUGAAUGAGCCGAUGUCGGAUUAGCUAGUUGGCGGGGUAAAGGCCCACCAAGGCGACGAUCCGUAGCUGGUCUGAGAGGAUGAUCAGCCGCACUGGAACUGAGACACGGUCCAGACUCCUACGGGAGGCAGCAGUGGGGAAUAUUGGACAAUGGGCGCAAGCCUGAUCCAGCCAUACCGCGUGGGUGAAGAAGGCCUUCGGGUUGUAAAGCCCUUUUGUUGGGAAAGAAAAGCAGCAGGUUAAUACCCCGCUGUUCUGACGGUACCCAAAGAAUAAGCACCGGCUAACUUCGUG